rnacentral:rRNA from 1 species
CAGCAGCCGCGGUAAUACAGAGGGUGCAAGCGUUAAUCGGAUUUACUGGGCGUAAAGGGCGCGUAGGUGGUUAUGUAAGUGAGAUGUGAAAUCCCCGGGCUCAACCUGGGAACUGCAUCUUAUACUGCGUAGCUGGAGUGCAGUAAAGGGUAGUGGAAUUUCCGGUGUAGCGGUGAAAUGCGUAGAUAUCGGAAGGAACACCAGUGGCGAAGGCGGCUACCUGGACUGACACCGACACUGAGGCGCGAAAGCGUGGGGAGCAAACAGGAUUAGAUACCCCCGUAGUCCCUGUCUCUUAUAC